AUUGAACGCUGGCGGCAGGCCUAACACAUGCAAGUCGAAUGGUAACAGGAAACAGCUUGCUGUUUCGCUGACGAGUGGCGGACGGGUGAGUAAUGUCUGGGAAACUUCCUGAUGGAGGGGGAUAACUACUGGAAACGGUAGCUAAUACCGCAUAACAUCGCAAGACCAAAGAGUGGGACCUUCGGGCCUCUUGCCCUCCGAUGUGCCCAGAUGGGAUUAGCUAGUAGGUGGGGUAACGGCUCACCUAGGCGACGAUCCCUAGCUGGUCUGAGAGGAUGACCAGCCACACUGGAACUGAGACACGGUCCAGACUCCUACGGGAGGCAGCAGUGGGGAAUAUUGCACAAAGGGCGCAAGCCUGAUGCAGCCAUGCCGCGUGUAUGAAGAAGGCCUUCGGGUUGUAAAGUACUUUCAGCGGGGAGGAAGGGAGUAAAGUUAAUACCUUUGCUCAUUGACGUUACCCGCAGAAGAAGCACCGGCUAACUCCGUG
rnacentral:rRNA from 1 species